rnacentral:rRNA from 1 species
GACGAACCGUGCGAACGUUGUUCGGAAUCACUGGGCUUAAAGGGCGCGUAGGCGGUUGGUCAAGUCAGGGGUGAAAUCUUUCGGCUCAACCGGAAAACUGCCUUUGAUAUUGACUGGCUGGAGGGAGAUAGGGGUUGCGGGAACUACCAGUGGAGCGGUGAAAUGCGUUGAUAUUGGUAGGAACGCCGGUGGCGAAAGCGCGCAACUGGAUCUCUUCUGACGCUGAGUGCGCGAAAGCUAGGGGAGCAAACAGG